rnacentral:sRNA from 1 species
GCACCUGGGCUCCGCCCGCGGGAAGAUGCUGGGGCCAGUGUCGACGCGACCUUGGGUCCAAACCCGCUGCUGAGGGCAACGCGUCUAAAAAACUUAGCCGGUGCAGCUGCGCACUGAGUGACACCUCUCUCGGUGCUUAAGGCUGGUAGCAAAACUCAAACAUCCUGGGUCCCUCUUUCUGGCACGGAGGUCACAGAGGGCCAGGAGGUUGCUCCGUCCCUCUCCACAUCUCACUUCCUUCCCCCACCCUGUCCAGCUUCGUGAUUGUAUCCAAAAAACCUUGAAUGAAUGGAGUUCCCAAAUCAACCCAGAUUUGGUCAGGGUAAGUGAAAUGUGAAUGCAAAAAUCAUGCAGGUCAGAAAGGAAGUAAAGUAAACAGGAAGUUAAUUUCUUCAGUUUUGUGAGGGAAGUCAAAUAGGCAAUUAGCCAUAAACUCUCUGUGGUUGAUUUGCUGAGACGGCACUCUGAUCCAGUAGGCUUAUGCAUAAAACAGAAAAUCUAGACCGUAGGCAACUCUUUAACCAGACAAGAUACUAGGAUUCUCAUGCUUAAUUCUCACCAUGGUUUCCUCACUAUCAG